GGGGUGCUGCUGGGGACUGAUCACCUUUGCAGGAUCUAUUAUUGGAGUUCAAUCUCCCUUCAUAGGUCUCGACUGAGAAUGUAGCAGUAUCCUAAAUGAACUACAUCAUUUUUUGGUCCAAAAAAGGAGUGAGCGACAACUAAGGGGGUCUUCUCAGCAUGGAGCCCUCUAAGAAGGUUUUGAACCUUUCAAGGGGUCUAUCAUUCCCCUCUAAGCAGGCUUUCUAGACCUCACGAAGAGGAAUAUCAGAGAUAUGGAUGGUUCCCAAGGGCAAGCCC
rnacentral:lncRNA from 1 species